rnacentral:snRNA from 1 species
UUAUCGCCUCGGCCUUUUGGCUCAGAUCAAGUGUAGUAUCUGUUCUUAUCAGUUUAAUAUCUGAUACGUCCCCAUCGGGGACUACAUAUUAAAUGGAUUUUUCGAACAGGGAGUCGGAAAUGGGGCUUGCUCCGUCCGCUCCACGCAUCGACCCGGUAUUGCAGUACCUCCGGGAAUGGUGCAACACUU